GGCUGCGCCCUUCCCGCCCAGGCGGUGUGGCUCGGCCCUUCGCGGGGACUGCUCGCCCCGGGCUUGCCGCCUCACAGUGCCCCCCCGCCCGCUGCUUCCUGCAGAGAGUGCCCUGGCGCUGGGAAGGGAAGCUCCUGAGGGACCGGCCCGGCCCUGCCUUGGCCGGCUCCCCGCCUUCAGCACCCUUUGCGCCAGUUGAAUAGGCCUAGCGACCCUCUGAUGCCUUUUGAAAGGGAGAAAGCUGAGAAGCGUCUGGGCCGCCCUUUCUCUCCGCCAGCCUCGCUCCCCUAAUGCUACAGGUGGAGCUGAGGAGCAGAAGGAGGAUUUUCCAUCCCUGGGGCAGCUUCCCUACCUUGGGCAAAGAUGAGCAGCGUUGGGAGCUGUGCAGGACCUGUGCUGGACACCCCAAAUGGCUGUUUUGUGCCAUGAUUCCUGAGACAGCUUCUGGACCAUGUCAUUGCUUCCCUGAGAGAUGGCACUGGGCACGGAGAAAGCUCUGGAACUGUUAGCAAAGAGCCCUGGGGCACAAAGCCUGGGAGUUUUGAUG